AGAUGAGGCAGCGCAGGGGCUGCUGCUUCGCCACCUGCUGCUUCGCCACGAAAGAGUUCCCGUGCCGUGGGAGCAAGUCUGGGACCUCUGGUCGGAACGGAGAGUCGCAGCUGUGUGUUAGGGCUAGGAUGGCUCCGGGAUGCGCGUGAGGCAAGUGACCUUGCGUGUAAAGGGAUACAUGAUCCCUUAAUUCAGGCUCAGGCUGAAGAACUGACCCACUUACGACAGAAGAUACAGGAAGGGAGAGGUGUCUGCUACCUUUUCACCCAGCAUGUGAAGAACACAGUCAAGUCUUUUGAGGGCCUUCUCAGGAACACUGACAUUGCCUACUACCAGAGACAGAGAUUCUGUGAGCAAAUGGUACAAGGAAGCCAGCUGACAGAGAUCCUUGUCAGAAAACUUGCCACAGAAGAUGAGAUCCAGAGCCAGUGGCAGCACCUGAAGGAGACCCUUUUCAUCAACAACUGCCUGUGAGAAAAGCUAGAACGUCAUCACAGCAGCUUUGAUGAAGAAAAUGGUAGGAGAGGCCCAAGUCAGCCUGCUUCUGGCAAUAUGUAUUUUUCUAAAGGAUGCACCUCUAACCUCUACAGGCAAAUCAUAGAUUCCAUUGUCCAGCUGUAUAAUGAAAACAGAGUUCUCAGAGAAGAAUACCGGAGACUCCCCCGACUUGCCUGAAUCAAAUUUCCAGAG
rnacentral:lncRNA from 1 species